UAAGAGAAAAACAGAGUAAGUGCUGGCCUUCUGCAUAAACUGUUUUUGUUAUUGCCUCAAAGGAAACCAAAAUCUCCUAGUUCAAAAUGCAUAAUCAUAUGCAAAAUUGUAGUAGCUGGGCUAUUCCAGGGCAGUUAGGUUACUUCAUCUCAUCCCAUUAUCCUGCUUCAUAUCUAGUUCUCAGAUAAAAUCAUUCUGCCAGAUCCAUAAAGUCCCAUUCUUCAAAACUGCAUUUUUUUUCUCCUGAUGUAUAAGAAUACUCAAGCAGUUUUAGCUAGCCACAUAUUGCUCUCUUGUGACUAGCUUUAGGUAGUUUACUAUCAAGCCGAACCAUCUUUUCUAAUGUUGCUAGUUGUCAGAAGCAAAACACUCAUUCUAUAACAUAAAAUAAUAACAGAUGCCUCCACAUAAGCCUGAAAAGGCAAGUAAAACAAAAGCCAGGGCUUUGAACAAAGCUGACAGUACUCAGAUUACCAGUACUCGUAAAGGACCAACACCUAAAAGUAUAAACAAAAAAGUGAACUACUGCCCAGAACUGCAGAGCUUCUCACAACUUCCAGGGUACCUGCAACGUAUUCUAGUAGUAUGAAAACACAGUGUCUGAAGAAUAAGAAGCAAGGCUAAUGUUCACUGCUGUAACCAAAAAAAAAAAAAAAAAGCAAACACAACAAAAAACCCAAACUACAACCAAAAAUCACAAGCGUAGAUACUCAAAUGCGUCUGUGCCUGUAGAUUUAUUUGGCCUUCUCUUUGGAAUCUGAUCAAUGGUAAAACCAAAUAGGUUUUUGGAAAUCUGUUAAAGUCAUUCAUCUUACACCAGGGACGCUGACUUCCAACUUCUGAUCUCCCUCACCCUUCUUCAGUUUGUAAUAUCUUAACAGACUAAUUUACACUAACUGCAAGCAUUUAUCUUUCUUACCAUAUAAACUGCAACUCAAAGCAACAUUUUAAAGAUGCAUGAUCUGUUUUCAAUGAGAAAAACAACAACAAAAAAUACAGGCAUAUUACAAGGUUGCUUCUCUGUUAUUACGGUAGGAAGCGAUCACUUUGUCUAAUGUCAUACACACAUGCACAGAGGCACAAGAUACCUAUGCACACACAAGUAUGUUUCAACACAAAACAUGAUUCUGAACUUUAACAAGAACAAAAAAGUAUUAGACAACAACCUUAACCCUGCCCCUUUCACAUGUGCCUUUCUAAACGUAAUAUUUUCCAUCAAAGGCUCCUUUGUACUGAUGUCUUUACCUUUUUAAUCUCAGGAGAAUCCUUGACCUGAAUGAAUAAAUGUGAGGUCACUGAUAAAGAAAAUUUUAACAACUGCCAUAUGUAUAUCAAUGAGUUCUGUGCUAGCAACAGUAAAUAAGGCUAAUAUUUAGCUGUGGGCACACAAAAAAAAUUCUGUUCUAGCAUAAUGUAUGAGAGAAAACCAUUGCUUCCAAUGAAGAAGGCUUUCGGUAUGUACAUAGUUUUUGGGUAAGCAAUCACUAGCAUGUAACCUUUUCACACGACAAAUAAUGGCAGAGGAUAACAGCAAGCUUAUUUCCCCUUUCAGAAAUAUACAUUGCUUCCUAUUUUCUCUGAACACACUCCCUUCCAAGGGAGUCAAUGGUCAGGUUGCCAAAAAGAUUUUUUAGCUACAACUCAACUUCAAAGACUUCCUAUUAAAAGUUAGGAGGAGAAAUUAAACAAAGCCUGCAAAAAGAAUUCAAAGGGCAUAAAAAUAAACACUGUAUGGUAUUUCACACUCAAAGGCCAGCAACUUAUGCAGGAAGAGGGGUAUGCUACAAAGGAAUAUGCAUCUCCUUUCAUGCCUGCCAAGUUCAGAAAGCUCAGCUGAGACACUAAACAUCUUUCCAUGAAAACAGGACACGAAUGGAUCUGUCUACCUACCUUUUCCAGAGGAAGUAUGUCCUAUUUUCACUUAUUGAUAAUAUUACAAUUUACAAUAAAUAACUUCUUUCGGUUUUACCUCUGCUUUUUCAAGUUUGUUUGAAGUGAGAAAUAUUAGCCAAAGGACAAGAACAAACACUGACACAAACCAGUGAAUCGAACAGACAUCUCCAGGAGUCAACUGAAAGACCAGAAAAAAGACUUUCAAGAGUAGGAAAAUAGAAGCACUUACUCCAAAGGCAGAAAAUGACAUGAUUUCAUAGAGCCAUAAAAUAUCCUGAGCUGGAAAGGACCCACAAGAAUCAUCAUGUCUAACUCCUGACUUCUCACAGGACCACCCAAAAAUCAAACCCUAUAUCUGAGAGCAGUGUCCAGUUGCUCACCCAUCACACCGUGUAUUUGUCUAGCUGUAGCUGGAUGUUUUGUCCAGAAGGAUACCGUAAGAAACAGUAUCGAAAGCUGUGAUGAAAUUCAAAAACAUUUCAUCAACUGGCUUCCCUUGGUCAACAAAGUAGGUAACUUUGUCAAAAGUGGAGAUUAUGCUCAAUAAACAGGAAUUUCCCUUGUGAACUUGUGUUAUCAGUGACCGAUGACUGCAUUGUCUUUCAGGCGUUUUUCAGUAACUCCCAGAAUAACCUUUCCCAUGAUUUGUCCAGGCACAAAAGUGAGACUGAUAGGCCUGUAAUUACCAGGGUCUUCUUUCUUGCUCUUUUUGAAAAUUGGGACAAUGUUUGCCAGCUUCCAGUUGACUGGGACCUCUACAGAUUCCCAAAACCAUUGAAAAAUAAUUGAGAAAGGUCUCAUCAGCCAUCUCUGGGAUGAAGCCCAUUGGGCCCCAUAAAAUUAUAUGCACUCAGCUGGAGUAGCAAAUCCCACAGUUUGCGGUUCACUGGGACACUCAUCGUCCUCCAACUCAGGUCUCCAGGGGUCCCAGGGCCUAUCACCAGUGUUGGAGACAGAGGCGAAGAAGGCAUUAAACAUCUGUGCUUUGCCUGUGUGCCUGUUUGUGAGGUGACAAUCCUCAUCAAGUAACAGACCACUGUUAUCCCUAGUCUUCCUUUAGCUGUUAACAUAUUUUAAAAAGUCAUUUUUCUUGUUCCCCACAGUACAGGCCACCUUCAACUCUAACUGAGCUUUGGCUGCACAAACUUUCUUCCUGCAAUGAUGAAAAGCAUCUCUGUAGCACUCCCACCUUGCCUGACCUCACUUCCAGUGGCCAUACACUUUCUUUUCCUGCCCAAGCUCUAGAAGACUUUUUCUCAGCCAGGACAACCUUCUACCCUGCCUGCAUGACUUCCAGCACUUUGGAAUUGUCUUCUCCUGCAUUCUUAAGAGGUGGUGCUUAAAAAGUGACCAGUGCUGAUGAACCCCAAUGCCUUCAAACACAUUUUCACAGGGGACCUUGACAACUAGUUCCCUGAGCAGCCUUAAGUCUGCUCUCCCCAUAUCCAGGGCUGAAGAUUUGGUAGCAGUUUUUGUCAUACUACCAAAGAAUUUCAACUCAACUAUUUCAUGGUCACUGAGAUAACAGAUUUUUUUUUUUUUUUUUUAGUACUUGAACAGGCUUAAAUUCAAGGUCAUACUAUUGUAUACACUGAGCAUCUGCAAUCAAGUUUAACAAAAUGCCAACAGAAUACAUUGAUUGUUGGAUUAAAACCUAACAAAGAAAAUCUCAGUGCUGUACGAAAUACAGUUAAGGCCUAAAAGGCACAAAAGUUAGUCUCUUGCCAACUAAGAAGCCAUUGGCAAUGUAUUUCUAUUUCUUUCAAGUGACAGGAAGAAAAGGUUUUUUCUCCUUUUAAGCACUCAUGCUUAAACACUUCUAAUUGCAAUUUAUCACAACAACAACUAUUACUACUAAAUGGUUAAAUCAAACAACUCAACUUCUGAAAGCAGCAGUUUUAAAGCAACAACGGUUCUGCAGUUGUAUGUUUCUUUUCUUUCCAGCAGUCACUUACACUACUUAACCUAUUACAUUCUUGACAUUACAGAUACAUCCCAAUUAAGCAAUCAUUACAAAGAAACAGAGAAACAAAUGUGAAAGGACAAAAACAUUUCUGCAGACUGCCUAGGAAGAGAAAUACCCUAUUUAAUAUUAUGGAUGUAAUCUGGACCCAAACUAAUGGGAGUUCAACUGAUUUCAGCAGAGACAAGGUUUCACUCCAAGUCUUCUCUCUUCAUUUCAGUACGGUCCCUGCAAGCUGCACAGCUUCAUUCUCCAGACUGAAAGCCACAAACACGCCAAGCUUGCUGAAAUGUCUUUACACACUUCAACCAUCUCCCUCUUCAAACACAGGCAACUCUAAGGCAAUACAAAUAAUAGUUGCUCCUAGAAGCACACUGUAACUUAAUUCCGGUGUACAAAAAAUGGAAGAAUAUUCUGAUGUUAUCAGUCUUCAAUAAAGAUGAUCUGAUUUUACAUCCUUCAUAAAUUAUAUCACUGGAUAGUCAGAAUAUCUUACAGAAGGCAGGCAGCAAAACAUCAAGGAGACAAUAAUUAUAACUUGCUUUAAAAAAAAAAAAAGAGCUCUAUCACACAACAGAGAAACAGAAACCUGCAGAACAUUUCAACUUCAAUAAACAACAGAUCCAAUCCGUCACAUUUUUGAACUCCCUGAAUCCAUGUGAACUUCAGUGAGACAGCCACACCAAAUAAGUCACUGGUCACAAGUUGUGCCAGGUGCAGGAUGCAAAUGCAGGACUGAACAUCAGCCAAUUCCAAUUUCAGAGCUACAUUAAUGGAGAGAGAUGACAAAAGACCAUAGGAGAGAACAUGCUGAAGGAAUUAGACUCAUUAAUAGGCCGUCAAAGUAUUGUAACACUGAUCUAAGCCAUUGCAGCAUGCUGCAUGGCUGCAAAUCAAAAUGGAAUUGGAUCCUAUAUUUUGUUCAAUUUAUUUCAAAAUUUUCAUCGGUGACAUUAAUCCAAAAAAAACCUACAUGUUUUUUAUAGAUGAACUACGAUUUAGUCUGAAAACAGAAACAAGAGAAGAAGGCAGAGCAAAAAUAAACAACUCAUCCACGUUCAGCUGGCUUCUGCAGGACAAAGCACUUACAGCUACUCACAAGCAGUAGCAUUAGGAGACGCUAAUUUUCUGGGGCACAAUGCAGCCAGGGACUGUAACACUUCAGUUGAAAUGAGCUCCUACUGCAGUGCAGUUGGAAAGGCUGCAUUCUUGUUAUUCAAGAAGAAGAGGCUGAAGAAGAGGCUGAUUUCUAAAUAAAGCCAGUAACUCGAUUUAGUUUAAGGGAGAUAAAGUUCCUGGAGUCCCAAAGAAAUGAAGAAAGCUGCUUCAGCAACCAAGAUCAUCUUUGUUGUCAGCUGAACAGAGCUACAGUUUUGAGCUACUUUGAAGUGUUCUCAGAACUGUGACUGAAGCAGGUAGCACAUUAUUUCAUAAAAAUGACAGAUAUAAAAUGGUGUGAUCAUCUCACAAUGCUGAUGAAAAAUCAAAACAAAAACCUUGAUUGGGGCCAGAAAGGCACUGGAAUUGCAUAUCUCAAGACUAAGUGACUAAGAAGCUUGCAGAAGACAGGAUUUAUUUAAGGGGCUGAUCAGCUCUGACAAAAACAGAUUUUUAAUAUUCACCAAUACAUUAUUGCAUAUUUGAUCAAGGCAGAAGCUGUCUACAAAACUUCAUUUGAAAUGUCUUUAGUCAAUACAGGUUUACUGACUGCUUAUGUGAAAGAAAUUUUAACAGCUUCUGCUGCUACAUCAAGGGCAAUACUUCCGCAUGCUUCCUGGAAAAAGAACACGUCCUGUUAUCCCCAACGCCCUCAAGUUCACAUUUUAGUUUGCUGGUAUUACUGAUUUGUGUGAUUCGUUUUUCCUCAGCAAGACCCUAGCUCUGCAGACCCUGCAAGACCCCAGCAUGAAGAUCACAAGGAUAGACAGGUCAGACUUUGCCCACUACCGCACAUUAAAAUCUCUGCUCACUUCUGCUGAACCAGCAGAGAAGGGGGACAUUUUAUGCCUUUCCACUCAAACAUAAAUCCAUCAGCUAUCAUUACGACCACAGCAGUUGAGACACUAUUUUAGCAUAAGGUGAGCACCCUUAGGCUACACUUCACCAGUUUCUUCCUGACCUCUACAGUGCUUAUACUCUGAAGCUUGUAAGGUGAUCGACUUUUUCUGUAACUGUGAACUUUGUGAAACAUAUGCUGAGAUUUGCAAAAACAGGCAAGAAGGAAACAUCAUGAGACAGAUAAACAACUAGAAAAAAAACCAAAAACAAAACAAAAAGAAAAGCAGGUAGAAGUAGCAUUUGUGAAAUAGCGUAUGGAUAAGCCUUCUGUAGGGAGGUAGCAGCUAUUUUGAGCUCCUCCCUCAAAGGAGGCUGAGGUUUCCAAAAUCCAGUGGAGGGACACCCUGAAAACUCAAUCCCUCUAAACACAUCAUCAUGGUACCUAGCUAUGGGGCCACAAAGAACUGAAUGGCUAUGCAGAACUGAGCACCAUAUCUUCUUUUCUUUUAAUUAUGGCAAUGUCUAUUUUGUUUGUACCAGACAAUACAAGCAAUUAAGGCUUUUAGGAAAGAUUUAAAUGCAUGGGGAUCUUCUGUGCCAUACAUACUGGAGUACAUAAAAUUUAAUGUCUUAGAGGACACAGUCAACAUACAGCUAGUCUUAUCUGAGAAGUCCAUCACUAAGACUACAGAGAUUCAGAACUGCGUAUUUUGGGAAAUGGACAGAAAGCACCCACAAAGACUCAUUAAACAAGCCAGCCUCAUAGAAAGUGGAUACAUGAUGUUGCA